CUGUUCUUUUUCCUCUCUCUGGGCACUGUUCAGAGGUAUAAUGGCAGUGAAGGAAGUUACUUAGCCCGCCAUGUCACACCAGCUCUCUGUCAAGCAAGCCAACGGCUGUAUUCUCGUAAAACUGUAUCAUCCUGGUGAAACAUGGCUGCCCAGUUUAUACUGCUGAAGGUGUGAAGCCAAAAGAUAAGGACAAUAUUCCAGGUGA